UUGGAGGGCAAGUCUGGUGCCAGCAGCCGCGGUAAUUCCAGCUCCAAUAGCGUAUAUUAAAGUUGUUGCAGCUAAAAAGCUCGUAGUUGAAUUUCGGGGUUAGUAGGUUGGUCAUGCCUCUGGUAUGUACUGGUCUCACUGAUUCCUCCUUCCUGAUGAACCGUAAUGCCAUUAAUUUGGUGUUGCGGGGAAUUUGGACUGUUACUUUGAAAAAAUUAGAGUGUUUAAAGCAAGCUAACGCUUGAAUACAUUAGCAUGGAAUAAUGAAAUAGGACGUUCGAUCCUAUUUUGUUGGUUUCUAGGAUUGACGUAAUGAUUAAUAGGGAUAGUUGGGGGCAUUAGUAUUCAAUUGUCAGAGGUGAAAUUCUUGGAUUUAUUGAAGACUAACUACUGCGAAAGCAUUUGCCAAGGAUGUUUUCAUUAAUCAAGAACGAAAGUUAGGGGAUCGAAGACGAUCAGAUACCGUCGUAGUCUUAACCAUAAACUAUGCCGACUAGGGAUCGGAUGAUGUUAAUUUUUUAAUGACUCAUUCGGCGCCUUACGGGAAAC
rnacentral:rRNA from 1 species